CCUACGGGUGGCUGCAGUGGGGAAUAUUGCACAAUGGGGGAAACCCUGAUGCAGCGACGCCGCGUGAGUGAAGAAGUAACUCGUUAUGUAAAGCUCUAUCAGCAGGGAAGAAAAUGACGGUACCUGAGCACGAAUCCCCGGCUAACUACGUGCCAGGAGCCGCGGUAACACGGAGGGGGCAAGCGUUAUCCGGAUUUACUGGGUGUAAAGGGAGCGUAGACGGGAGUACAAGUCUGGAGUGAAAGGCGGGGGCUCAACCCCCGGACUGCUCUGGAAACUGUAAGGCUGGAGUGCAGGAGAGGUAAGUGGAAUUCCUAGUGUAGCGGUGAAAUGCGUAGAUAUUAGGAGGAACACCAGUGGCGAAGGCGGCUUACUGGACUGUAACUGACGUUGAGGCUCGAAAGCGUGGGGAGCGAACAGGAUUAGAUACCCGGGUAGUC
rnacentral:rRNA from 1 species